ensembl:lncRNA
GUGGGUGACUGUGUUUCUGCCUCUUAGCUUCACCCUCUCAGGCAAGGGACACUGCACUGGGCUGCUUCCUGCGGAAGAGCUUUCACCGCAGGCAUCUUGGGAUCCCGGGGCCGCCCGGCGACGGGACGACGGGGUCCUGGCGUCCUCACAGGCGGGGCUGGCUGGGAGGCCCGGCGGCUCUGCAGGAGAAGACAGCCCGCAGUCCCCGCCCCGCAGGCGCCCUGACCUCCCGCGGCCGCCGCCCCGCGGCCCGGCCUCGCUGCGCCGCCCCCCUCAGCCUCCCGGGCCCCCGCCCUCCCGAGUCCCGCAGGCCGCCUCCCGGGCGCGGCAGGGCCUCCGGCGGAGCGCCGGCCGGCCCCAGGGUCUCCGCGCCGGGCUCAGGCAGCCGGGGCCGCGGGACGCCCCGCGCCUCCACCGCCCCGCGAGGGCCGCGCUGCGUCCGCACGAGCCCGUCGCGCAGAGCGUCCCCGGAGGGGCUGAGCGACGAGGCGGAGGAAGCAGCGCGGCGCCGGCUGCCCCCGCCUUCCUCUCCGGCCGGCGACACACGCCCGCAGGGGCCGCAGCCGCGAGCGGAGGCCGCCGCGCUGGCUCUCGCUUCGGGCCCGUCGCUUAGGCACUCAGCGCCUCGGCUUCCCCGUCUGUGACAGGCGGCCACAGCGCCGCCCGGGGCUGGGAGCUAACCGAGCUGCUCGCCGGGAGGCGCACGCCCCGCGCCGCCGCCGGGGGAGCGGCCGAGACGCCGCGGCUGGGACCCCGCGGUGUCCGCGGUCGCCGGCCAGCGGUCAGCACGCAGUGUCUGUGCAGCCUCUGGGCGAAGCCCCGGCCGUGCAGCCCGGCUGUCCUGGCGCCGCCGUGAGGUGGGGACAGACAGACACAGAGGGAAGACCACGUGAGGACACGCGGAGCAGGCGGCCAUCUGCAACCCAGGAGACGGGCCUCGGAGAAACCAAACCUGCGCCGCCUGGGUCUCGCACUCCGAGCCUCCAGACGGAGGAAACACGCGUGUUUCAGCCCGGCAGUCUGAUACUUCAUGAUGGCCACCCAGCGAAUGACGUCCCUGGCGGCGGGCUCUGCUACGCCUUUUACUUUGCCUCGCGUCCCGCUCUUGCUCGCGGUUCCCCCAUCUCAAGACCCCACAAGGCGCUGCCCUGGCAUCCUGUGCUCAGGCUCCUCUGGGCAAAGAUUCACUGUAGGGAUGUUCUCUGUGCAACUCCUGCCGGGCCUGUCCAUCUGCAGCUGCUCUCAGGCCACCAGGAAAGUUCUGGGCAGCCUCAGGCAGAGCCUAGGCCUGGUUUAGAGUGGAGUUUCCAGAUGCAUGCCACCAUCCACAGCCGCUCCAUCCUAGGGAACUCUGGGCCUGGGAUUGCCAGAUAAAGUACAGAACACCCAGUUAAAUUUGAAUUUCAGAUAAACAACAAAUAAUGUUUCAGUAUAAGUAUAUCCUAAAUAUUGCACAGGCAUCCUUAUACUAAAACAUUAUUUGUUUACCUGAAAUUCAGAUUUUACUGAGCAUCCUGGAUUUUUAUUUGCUACCCUACCAGCGUCGUGGGGAGUCCAGGGCACUCCGCAUAAAGACACUUUGAGAGAAUUUUCCUCCACAUCCUUCAGGAAAUCUGGACCAAAAGCUGGCCAGAGGCAGGAGCACCCCACAUCCCUCAGCCCUGAGCAGAAGCAGGCUUCCCAGGCCCACCUUGUCCUAACCCUGGUACCCACGAUAGCACCAGAGACUGCAAUCUCCAAGGUUAGGAAGAGUUUGCAUUAUAAAAUAAUGGGUGUGGGAACCUCCUCUCUCCCCUCCACCUGGAUUUUAAAGAAGUGAUAGCAGAUUUGGACACAGCCCAUGGCACCCACAAAUCCAAAAAAGAGGUAGGAUACCAUAAUUAAGAGCAUGAGCUUUGGGGUCAUAUAGACCUGUGUGAGAACUAGCAAUAUGGCCUCGAGUGAGUUAUAGCCCUCUCUAAAUUGCCCUUGUCUCAUCAUAGCUCAGGAACGUAAAUGUUCCUACCUAUCUUACAGUGUCGCCGUGGAGAGCAAACAAGACACCACACGGACAACCUUAACACAGUGCCUGACAGAAAGCAAGUGCUGGAUAAAUGCUAGCGCACUGCUGCGGGAGCCUCUCCACUUCUGUUUACAUCUCCUGCCCCAACACUCUAGCACACACGAGUUCUCCUAACUGAGCCCCAGCAGUGCUCUGAAGGCCUGGAGCUAACGACAAGCUCUGUGAGCUCCAGCUCCUGGAAACUUUCCCAGGAAAAUUUGGGAUGCAGAGAUGUGGGAUAGAAGACAGAUGGCUUUGGCAUUUUGUGGUAUGGGUAGUGAAAGGUCAGUUAGCUCUGUAGGAGAGAGCUCAGUGCCGCAGGGAUCUGGCCCAUGAGAUAGUCUUCCUCACCUCUAUCACCUAACCCUCCCCAGUCCCAGGUUGUACAGAGUUCAUUGACCCCCUCCCCUACCUUCCAUGGACACUGGGCCUGGGCCCCAAACAAAGGAAUGCGUCUGGCCUCGGGGCCAAAGAUGGCCACUUCGGCCUUGACUCUAAGGCACCACUUACAAAAAAAUAUGUCCUGCGUCAUGUUCCUUGUCUAGCCUGGCCACCCGGAAGGGCACCUGACAGGACUUUAGAAACAUCCCAUCCGUAGGAACAAAAAUGGUAAAAGCACCCCAUCCGUGGGAACAAGAAGAAAUAACUCAAAAUAUCCAAAUGUCUAAAACCCUGAGUCAGAACCCAGAGAAACCUUGGGAUGAAAGGGAGUCCCAGGCAUAGGAUAAUUGGAGGUCUCCCUGAGGAAAGGACGCUUUGCCUCAGACCUGGACGAUCAGCACUCUCACCCGCUGUACAAACUAUUGGGACUUCCCUGGCUCAUUGUGGUGUGGAUGUUGUAAGUACCGAUUUGUUGUUCCCCUUUAUCCCCACUCCUUGUUCUGUUUCCCUUUAUCAAUAAACUCUGAUUGCUUAAACAACCAAGUAGCCUUGGCUGUACCUGUCUUUCCUUGCCCUUUGUGGCUGCGGGCAACACAGGUGCCUGCUGACCGUGCAGCCAGGUGCAGGUGGAGCAGCGCCAGUCAAGCCCUAGGAUUAGAAGAUGAAGCCAGUGGUCAGUCCCAGCAAGGCUGAGUCAGUGACAUUAUCCCUCUAUGUGAAAGGUGACACGUUUGUAAGCAGAGACAUGAUAUGGGAG